CUACCCCUCCCCCAAACUGACACAUGCACACACACACAAAAACUCACUCACACACACUCCAGACAAUAAUAGCUGAAGCCAACAGAAGCCCAGCUGACUUUGAGAUAUAUGGUAUCAUCCGACAGGUGAAUGAGAAAACGUUUCUGGCUUUAGGAGUGAGUUGUGAGUACAUUUCAGGAUUUAGCGACUACAUCUACAAUGUUAUGUUAUCUGUAUUCAUAACCGAAGGACCUUUUCUCACCUAUUUUUGGGGAAACCUGUUGCGUUCUUGAUAGGAUUGAGUCUAUUUCACAUUAGGGCAACUCCAUUUGUUGUAGUUGAAGCAGCAGUAGCACGAAGUGCGAGAAGCUCAGAUGGAAGUAUUUCAGGAAAAGAAAGAGGGGGAGAAAGAAGGGAAAAGAACAGCGCCAACAUCAGAAGAGGCCUUACCAUCCAUCAAAGCAUCUUCCAGCUUUUCAUCUCGCCCAGACUAUCUAUACCUGUAAUUAGGUUUGGGUGAGGGAGAAGAUGGAUUUGGUUUGCAGCACCAUGCAGAGAAAAACAAGACAUCAGGAAGUCCUUACCGCUGUUCUGGGACCAGCCCUUAAUGGUGUCUAAUUGACCUGGUCUGUCAUGUGGCCAUGGCUUCAUACGGUCGGGGGGCGAUUAUCUAUAUGUGUCAUCCUGAAAGGAUUAGCAUUAGUAGUGUGUGUUUGUGUGUGUGUGUGUGUGUGUGUGUGUGUGUGUGUGUGUGUGUGUGUGUGUGUGUGUGUGUGUGUGUGUGUGUGUGUGUGUGUGUGUGUGUGUGUGUGUGUGUGUGUGUGUGUGUGUGUGUACGGUUGUGGGUGAGGGGUGGCUGCAUGGGGUUGCUAUAAUUGCCUUCCAGAUGAGAUGUGAGUGAAUCAGGAAAACAUUAAUGAAUUAAGAUAGUAGCCUUCAACCUAAAGCUAACCCAGUGAUCCGGCUUCCAGAUUUCCAGCAUUGUAAUUUGUACAACAUAGGUGGACAAAUCGAAGAGGGCAAUCACAUUCUUUGCCUACUCAAAUGCAUACAUGGGCUUAACAACACAUUAUCUGAAAGAGGACCGUUAAAAUCUAUUAUCCAAGUGCUCUAGAAAAAGAGAGGAGUGAACCCAGCAUCUCUUUUAUUUACUUCCUUCUCUGGUGCAGCUGUACUGCAGACACGCACAUCGCUUCAGUGACCUUCAGGAUGAUAUGAAAACGAAGGAUGAUGCCUCCGGUGUGUUUCUGGUGUGUCUCAUCUCCCAAGAUGGACAGCCGUGCAUUAUUGAUCACAAAACGCUUCAACAGUGCUAUGUACUGUGUCGCCUAUGGAAGUACAUUUGAGAGAACACAUUAUAGCACUUCAGGUUUUUCUGCUAUAAAGCGUGUGAUGAAAUGGUGUUAAUCAAUUGCGUCGGUUUGUUUGUUUGUUCGUUGUUAUCUCUCUUCCCCACGGUCUCUCUCCCGACCCCUUCUUGUUUGAAAACCCACAGGGAGGCUGGAUGGUAGAGCUGGAGUGACAACUCCCUUACCUCUCCUCUCUGUUCUGUUGUUCACAAGGCGACGGUCCCUUCCAUAACAACUCCCCCUCAUCUACAUUGAAAAAAAGCAAUUUCCUUUCUGCUAGCUUGUGUUCAACAUGCAGUCAUAGUCUGAAGCUCAUUGCAAGCAUUUGAAAGUGUGUUGAUAGAGCCCCAUCAGACCAAAAUUGUUUGUAAUACCAGACUAUUUGUCAAAUAAAUGCACAUCUUUCUACAAGAGAGAGAAACGCAAUGGCCUUUUCAUGUAGUAUGAAACCUAUUUACCUAUUGAUAGAUGUGUCAUUUCUUCAAGGCAGGUAGAGCAGACCUUUAACAGUACAGAUAAAUGGAUUCUGUACACCCUGCUAUGCAAGCUGGCAGACACUAUUUGAUAUCAGCCAAAUAAGAGAUGACAAAUUAGAAAAACAAGACGUGUGUGUGUGAGAGAGAGAGCUAGAGAGAAAGAAAGAAAGAAAGAAAGAAAGAAAGAAAGAAAGAAAGAAAGAAAGAAAGAAAGAAAGAAAGAAAGAAAGAAAGAAAGAAAGAAAGAAAGAAAGAAAGAAAGAAAGAAAGAAAGAAAGAAAGAAAGAAAGAAAGAAGAGAUGGAGAGAAAGAGAGAUGACUGUGGUCAGAUACAGGAAAGGGCUUUCAAGUGUCAUGUAGAAUAGAUAUCUCAUGCAUUGACUCAAAAGUACAGAGUUACUCCAUAUUAAGUGAAAUAACCUAACCUAAUAUAAAUUCAAAAAUACAAGACAAUGUAGAAAUAUGAAGAUACAAUACAAAUCAAGGCAGGGGAAAUAGAAAAUAUAAAUAAAUCAAGCAACAUUGAUUCUAACUGCGAACACAUUGAUCCCUUUUGUUUAUUUUACCUAUUAUCUAAUAUUUUACCUAAUACCCACAUUUAUCAGCCUACAUAUAUCAAUUAAAUUUAAAUUCUAAUUAAAUAACUAUGUAUUGAUUACAAUAAUAUUGGUAAUCAUACAUGCCCUGUGAGAAAUUGUGAUGCGUAUUUUGAAUUUUCAGCUCACAGUAAUGCACUCAAGAAUCCCCGAGUUUGAUUUAAUUACUUUAUUUUUCCAUAAUGAAUUUCAGUUGUACUAUUUUACAGGGGAGAUAGAUAGAGACGCUGAGAGACGCUGAGAGCGCAUGGCUGUGCUUCCUCUGUCCCCUGUCGAGGGGCCACAGGGGAGGAAUGCCCAUAGCGAGCACUGAGCCACCCUGUCAGAUGUUAUUUCCAUGAUGCCUAAGAAUGAUUGGGUUCAUAGAUCCAGUUGCCCCUCUCUGACAGCAGAGGGGACACAUCACCGUGGUUACCACACCUGGGAGAUGACGUAUGGGCAGGAUGGGAAACGUAGUCAGUACAAGGUCAUACCAGAGGUCGUCGGCUCGUCUCCACACCUGUCACACAUCACGUAUAACCCAUAUAAUUAUGCCAAGUCUUACUAAUGGACAAAACACAGAGUAGGUUUGAUAAUAAUUAGAUGAUUAAUUCAAAUGACUAGAUUUUUUUGUAAACAUCUUAUUUAUUAAAAUGUUUUAUUUGCUGGCAGAUGUAUUUAUGUGUGUGGGAAAUGGCUGAUGUGAUAAUGACAUGUUUGUUAGUAAAGGAAAUAUGUUAUUCUCCAUCUCUGGAGAUUACGUUUUGUUUAAAUGCAUACGAAGAUGAAUAAUACCCCCUCAGCAAACAAGA